GAGGAAAAAGAAGCUCAGUGAAUUGAAAUGACUUGCCUAAAGCCACGUGACUAAUUCAUAGUGGAGCAGUGACUGAAAUUUGGAUCUCCUAAAUCCUAGAUGGCUAUUUUUUUGUAUUAGUUUUCCAGAAUGCAGUUGGAAAUAGAGGAUUAGACCCCGAGAGCAGAAAACGGUCUCUCUGGCCUGAGCAGCACAAGGAGAAGCAGUUCACCCAAGAAGGGAGAGCCGUUAGGCCAGAUUCUCACUAAAGCUGUCACCAUGAUGAUGAUGGAUGAGAGAAGGCUCUGAAAAUGAACCCAUGUAAUCCGGAGGAUUUUCAGCAAACAAAUACAAAUUCAACUUAAUACCCAAACGUGGCUUGUCUGUGAGAACCACCCAACAGGUCCACUCUUCAGGAGGCCCCGCCUGGAUGUUAAGCUUCUGUCCCUGGUGAAGCUGGGCUGUGGGAGUGGCCAGUUGUACAGUGUGAGGCCAGAGCCCCCUUCUCCAGGCAUUAUUCAAGACAGAAAAUCACAAGAGUCAAUCUCAGGGAUUUCAUCUUCUGCUUGGAGCAGGAAAGAAAAACAAGCCACUCUCUUCAGCUCUAUCGAGCCUUGCUUAAAUAAAGCCAAUCAUUUUCCUGGCUUCCUCAGAGGGAAGCUCAGCUGAACAUUUAAAA